GGGGCUUGUUUCACUCGGUGUGUUUGGUGAGGCAGAUGCUUUCACUCCCCCCCUCCCUCCUUUCUUAGAGGAGGACGGGGCGGAUGAAAAGCGGAGGGAGGACGGAGCUGGAAGCUGAAACUGAGGAUGUAAAAACCCGGCUUCAUCUGACUCCCUCUCUUUCAGAGGACCACCCCCUCCCCUAUCCUCUCUCCUCUCUCCAUCUGACUGCGCCCAACUUCUCUCCCUCCAUCCUGCCGUACAGCUACACGGACUGCACCCAGCACGCACAAAACCUGAUUUUGAAGGGUUCGGGAUAUUUGCUUGACUCUUGUACUCUUUAUGGGUCUGGACUAUUUGUACUUUAAAGAGUGUUCUCUGGAAAGAGAAAGAGAGAGAGAGAGAGAAAUACCGCCUAUUCAGCUCGUGUGCAGAAGAAGGACGAUCCGACCUCCGCAUCCCCCGCAACAUCCCUCCGCUUCCUCCGCAUCCUCAGCAUCCCAUCCCUGAGAGGACCUCCAGAGAAGAGGACCGCGGACCAAGUCGCAAAUAAAGCCGGUUUACAUCGUUCUGUCACCGGCCCCACAGAGCCUCAAGAGUCGGUGUGUUUAAUGGAGGUCUGGGCUGCCUUUUUAUUUAUUUAUUUUUAAACAUCAAACAAUAAGAACGUGCUCGGUAAUGGCAAAAGAAAUAGAUACCUGCGCCAUUUAUCCUGCACCCUGCCGCUGAAAGGCCUCCAGAAAUCCUUCAGAUGACACUUUUUGUGGAACUUCUGCCAAAUUAAGCCAAUGAAAUGACAAUACCAGUAGAGAUUACAUUACUUCAAGCGUGCUAGAAGCCAAAAGAGGAGAUUGAAGCGAUAAAUAUUCAACUGAUUUAGAUGGAUUUUGACAUGACUUUUAGUCACAGGGCUAAAAUCUGCAAACUGUCCAUAUACACAGCGGAUAAACUGACUGUCACUGAACCAUUUCUAACACUGCAUCCAUUUACAUCUCAGGGAAAAGAAAGAUAUGCACACACAGUCACAUUUAUGCCUAUGCUUGGACCACUACAGGGUCCUCCUGAGCUGCUUCUCUGUGUGUGGACUGCAGGAGGAGACAAAGCACUGCAGAGGAGCAGAGCUGAGUGAAAAAACCUUGCCGUUAUUGUAACGAACCACUCUUUUGCUUUAACAAUAAUGUAUUAUAACGCUGUCAAUAGAUUGCAUUCACAAUAUCCAGUACAAUCAGCACCAAUAUCAUCAUAAAUGUUGCUGUCAGUGUAAUUUGAUCAGCUGUAUUCAAUUUGUAAGGCAGUUUUAGCAGCAUGCGGAGGCAUUAUAAAUAAUCAGUGCAGUCAUAGUCAAUAUAACCCAACGGUGACAAUAAAGCGUUCACUAUAUUGGUGUUUAAUAAAUUUAUAGCCCACUGAGUGUCAUGGGAGAUUUACAAGCUCAAUAUAUUGAAAUUUGUUUAUCUGUUUAUAGAAAUACAUUAAAGAGGAACCCCCUCUGCGCUUGAUAACUUGGCAGCAAUUUUAUUUUCUGGAGUGCUGCUGUUGCAGAAAAACUACUGAGACAGAUAAGGAGGGGAAUAAAGAGGAUGUGAUUCAGUCAAGCUGGACAGAGAAAGCUCUAGUAGGGUAAAGUAGGACAGAGCAGUGCUGGGGGAAAAAAAAAAAAAGAAAAACAGUGGUAAAAAUGGACUCACUGGACGUUAAAGCGAGGUGCACAAGACCACAGCUGCAUUGAAAAAAAAGAAGCAAUAAAUGCAUGAAAACUGUACAGAAUCACGAUGUUGUGAGUCAGAUGAGAACAAAGGGGAAUAAGAGAAAUAUGGGUUGUCACUCCUCGUGUUCACAGCGGACCUUGAUUUAAAUGUCCAUACAAUUAAGGCACGCGGUGAAUGCCAAGAGAGCGACCAAAUAUCAGCCAUCACAAACACUUAUUUGAGUGUUCACGUCAUGCAAAGACGUUAAGAUGCAUUUCCAGUUUCUCUAACAUGGCUGUCUUGACGGUAGACUGGGUAAGAUGUUGCAGUACCACCACAGACCACUAGUGCACAUAUAUGAUGCUUUUUUUUAUAUAAGACUUUCUUAAAACGUGUUCUUUUAUUAUUUUUAAUUAAAAAUUAUUAGAUAUAAGAUUGUUCUCAUAUUUUUCUUUCAUGCCGUUACAACCCUACCCUUAAUUAAGACUUAACUAUGACAGCGCCUUCUAGUGUCCUAAUUACAUGAGCUUAUAUUUAGUGAGUGUAGUAUUAUAGCGCCAGUAUUAGGAGGAGGUCGGGGUGGAUGGAUAGGUCUAGGAUUCUGCUGUGUGAUUAUCUUAUUUAAACCAAAAAUGUAGAAUUUAUUUUAACCCUUAUGUUCUUCUAAACCCGAAUCAAAAGAUUUGAAAUAAUAGAGUGUUUUUUGCCUUUAAUCUCAGUUGAAAAUCACUGAAACUGGAGUAGAAAUUUGGUUAGAGAGUAAUAUGAAUUCAAUUUCCUGUCAAAUUAAAGGAUUAAAUACAGUUUAGCAUAAAGUGCUAUCAUUUCCAGGCUCUUGAAAGUGUCUAAUGCCACAUAUUGCAAAUGUUUUCAAAAGUCAUGCUUGUAGCUAGCUGAGUUGUGCCAAUUGGGGUUAAAUAUCAGCAUGCUCACAUGUGCCAAAUUUGGAGAAGUAUAUGUGCAGAUUUGGCCCAGUUUAGACUGAGAAAUGACAUUUAUUUCUACUGGCUGGCAGAAUUAGGAACAUUUCAACCAUGGGGUGCUGCAGGAAGGGACUAAUAUUUUGUAACUGAAUGCCAACCACCAGUGAGCAUUCAAAGAAUCAGUAUAUACAGAGAUUACUCCAGAGAUUGUGCCCAAUUAAAUGCUCACUAAUAAUGAACUUCAAGAUAAAACUAGUCAGUAGUUUUAUUUACAAAGGCCUAAAUCCAACCAGAUCAUUUCUAUCCUCACCUUCGGGUAAAAGAAAAAUCCUCAAAAACUAAUUAAAUGAACGAGAUAACGCUGAAAGACACGAGAUAAACACUUAAAAAUGUCUCGUUAACAUCAGCAGAACACAUCAGUUCAUUCUGCUUUCAUUACCAUCGCUGCUCUGUUGCGUCUCGCUUACAUCAGCCUCCUAAAUCCUAAGAAAUCCACUAUAAUUUGUAGUCUUUGAGACUUUGAAAGCUGUCUGACAUGCAGGUCUAGUUAAUGUCCUCACUGAAAGAUCUGAUUAAUUAUGUUCUAAAAUGAGAUUAGAUUUAAAUGAGAUUGGAAGCACUGAUUUGAAAAAAAUGGAAAAGGGUGUGAGCAGCCGGGUUAAUACCCACCACUAAUUAAUGCCCUGUGUUUACGGAUUAAAAUUCAAAAUGGAAUUAAAAGUAUGGACAAAGCGGGUCUGCUGAAGGCUUUAAUAAUGUAUGCUUCACUCACAUGCAUGUCUAUAACGUGUAACAUGUAAUAUUAAUAGGAACCAAGUGCAGCUACGCUGUUCCUGUGCUUCCUGUUAAUUUCCUGUCAGCCUGUAUGAAUCCACCCUGGCAUGCUUUGCUUCAGUGCUGCAGGAUUGUGAUUAAAGUAACUGUGUUUCACAUGGGUCUCAUUUGUUAUGGUUCUGACAUGCAGACAAGGCCAACAAAUACUAUACAAGAGGAUAAAGCCUUCUGAUAUUGGAUGGAAAACAGCAGCAGAGCAACUGCAAGUAAUGCAAAUAGGAAGAGAUUUUAGGCUUAAAAUCUUUCAUAGAAAAAGGAUAUUUUUGGACUUCAGAGCAAAAGACUCCCAGCGCCUCCAGGCUUUGUUCCCAGUAUAAUUAAUGCUUGCUUGUAUAAUUAUUGCUGUCCAAUAAGCACUUUUUGCUCUGUGUGAAAUAAGAGAAUACAUUAUACGGGUGUAGGUGAAGAUUUUCUGAUCCACAGUAGAGACAAGGAUAGCAGCAGGACAGGAAGUCUCCCGAGUUAUCACUUACUAAUGCAUUUUCCCCAAACACAGACUGUAUCGAUCAAGGAUGUAUAGUUCCUCUGCUGGGAAUGGAGGUCGUACACUGGAUAUUUACUGUAUGCUGUUCUGAACAUGCACAGACAGUGAAUUUAAUCACUCUGUUGCAUCUAAAUGUGUUUUCUUCGGACUGUGAAUUUUGAAAAUAAAGUAUUCUUUAGCUGAUUUCAGCUUGUUAAAUUAUAUAAAGAACCAUGUUUUUUGUUUUUUUACUGUACCAUAAUUUGCUUAACUCUGGGCUUUUAUUAGAUGAGCUUAAAUAUCUGUAAAAAACAAACAAACAAACAAAUAAAACCUUCUCCUUCUUCAGAAACUGCCAUGUAUGUGGGAAAAUAUGGACGCAUGGAUUGUGAGUGUUAUAUGGGCACAGAUUAGAUCUUGGGUUUGACAGCUGAAAGAUGAAACAGAUGAUUAAUGUACACGCACUGCAGAAAAAGACACCAUGAUUGCAUUACAGUUUAUCCUCUGGCUGAAUUCUUUUUAUCCCAGUAUUUUUUUUUCUUAUUUGAUUAAAUAAAAGUAACCAAAUCAAUGUGCUGCAGUUUCCCUCCACACUUAUUUACAGCUUUUGCACUUUUCUGCUAUAGACAUGUUUUAUUUGUUGGCUGCGGUAUAAUUUUUCAAGAUUUAUAUACUCGGAUCAACUGUUCAAGCACUGUGGUUAAAUAAUUUCAAAGCAGUCAGUGUUACGUGUCUGUGUGUGCUGUUUGUCUAUUGUAUGUUCUCAGGGACAUAAUGAUACCCCAGAGUGUCUUAUAAAGAUGCUAAACAAUAAAAUAAAAUUUUAAAAAUGA